CUCGUGUUCCAUGAUCAUUAUCUUUUAGAAUAUUAGGGGGUUUAAUAAUCCUCUAAAGUAAAAACUUGUAGUUGAUAGGUUAGUUAGAUUGAAAAUUGAUGUUUGUUGUUUGUUGGAAAAUAAUGAUUAUUUUGGGAAAGUAUUUUCAGGGGUGGAACUAUGUUUGCAAUUAUGAUCAUGCUGUUAAAGGUAGAAUUUGGCUUAGUUAUAAGAAUACUUGUAUUGUGGAUGUGUUAUAUGUCUUUGGUUAAUGUAUUACAUGCAGUGUGUAAGUGAAACAUCAGAAAGUCUUCUUUUCAGCUGUUUAUGCUUGUAAUGAUGGUGUUUCUCGUUGAGAGCUAUGGUCUCACUUGUGUUCUAUGAGUGGCCAGGUUGGUGAUGCUCCGUGAUUGUUAGGUGGUGACUUUAAUGUCACGUUUUUGCCUGAGGAGAGUUCUUUUUUCGAUAGUUCUUAAUUUUUUACUGUUGGUAUGAAAAAUUUUCAAGCUUUAGUUAGGGAGAUUGAAGUCUUUGAUCAUGCUUAUUUUGGUCCUGUUUUCACUUAGUCUAAUAAUAAAUUGGAUAGGCCAAUUGCGAAGAAGCUUCAUAGAGUUCUUGUUAAGGUAACUUGGUUGCAGUUUCUGCCUCAUUCAUGGGUUGAGUUUGUUGCUCCUAGUUGUUUGGAUCAUUGUCCUUUUAUUGUUUGGUUGGAGCGGCCUAAUAAUAAAUCUUGGCAGCCUACUAUGGCUAAGGCUGAAGAGUUGGAGAGCUUGAAGCUUGCUUUGUUGCGAGGUGAUCUAGUUAGAAAUGGUCAUAUUGAUAAGGUGAGAGCUGAUCUUUUGCUUUUACAAGAGGCCGAAGCAUGUUUUUAUUAGCAAAAAGCUCGGGUUCAAUGGAUCAGAGAGGGGGAUCAAAGCACUAAAUUUUUUCAUAGUACUGUUGCAGUUAAGAGGAAUAAGCACAUUGUUACUUCUCUUUUUGAUGCAACUAGUAAUCGGUUGAUAAUGCUCUAGAAUAAUGUAUUUUCAUGUAUUAAUCAUGUGUUUAUUCUGGGCUUAAUCCUACUAAUUUGAGCUAUUUAUGUCUUUUUAUUGAUUAGGGACUGAUUUAGAGGUAAAAGUAAAAUUAAGGGACAAAAGUGCGAAUUUGGAGACACAAUGGGCUGAUAUGCGACACAGGAAAAAGAUUGUGCCAAAAGUGCGAGCAUGGAAAACACAAGGACUAAAAACGAAAAAAGAAGAGAUUUUAUUUUAUAAGACUCCAUUUUAUUUAUAUUAGGAUAAUUAAUAUUAAGAUAAUUAUUAGUAUUAUUUAAUUUUAGGAUUUUAUUUUAAUUAUCUUUAUUUAUCUUUAAUUAAAUGUAUUUAUCUUUUUAAAAUUUAAGUUAAAUUAGACUAUCUCCCUAGCACUAUAGAUAGGGGGUGAAGUGACUCUAUUUGGGUUUUAUCUUUUUCUGUAAACACUCUCCCCCUAAAAGUCUAGGCUUUUGUUUUUUCAUAUUUUUUUUCAAUAAAAUUCCUUUUUCCAUUUUUAUAUUUAUUUCUUUUUCCACCAUUAUCAUGAGCCACUAGAACCUAUCUAGUCGAAAGUUGUCAAUAUUCCCCAAAAAGGAUUCUUGAGGCCUAGAAUCCGUACUUAGCCUUCUCACCAAGUAUUCAUCGUUUCUCUGCACUACGAGCUGAAGCUUUCGUCCAUGGCCCUUAAGAAGUAAGCUUUUCAGCAUAUGCAAAGGCGACCGCUUUGUAUGUUUUGGAAGGAUUGCAUAGUCGGUUCGUUAACUUACUGCGUCAGAGGUUGGCGAGCUAAAGAGACGAAAUGGCGUGUGAUUCGUCAUUGAGAAGCGUUGAUCUAGUAUAGAUUACUGGCUAGAGUCAGGUUUCCUAAAAAUCGAAAGUCUAAUCUUUAAAGCUGGUGGUCGUAGGCGUCCUCUUCUACUAUAAUUGGCUUACUUGAGUUGAGAAGGGCCCAAAGCGGAAUGAGACAACUGGAGGUUUUCUUAGGCACGAUUUUGCCCAGGAUUUCGAGAAACAAGUAUUCGUAUAAUCCGAUCCCUGAGGAUUCGACCCUACUUCCCCUUUACUGUUCUUUUUUAUUAUUUUACAGGGAAUAGGAUAUUUUUGGUGCUCUUAACGACUGCAUCAUCGGUUGGCAUCUUUUGAUUAGAUUUCUGUAGAGAUUUUGGGGUUUUAUCAAAAUCUUCUUGGCGCAGUUGAUUCCAAUGUUGUUAAGUGCCCAGAUUUUUUACUUCAGUAGUUACUGCCUAAAUUGUCUAACGAUAUUCAUCAUAUGUUAACUAGCCCUAUUACCAAUGAGAAGAUAAAUGCAAUUAUUUUUAGGCAAGGGAAUGAGAAAGCCCCUAGUUCUGAUAGUUUCACAACUUUCUUUUUCAAAUCUGCAUAGGGUAUAGUGGAGCCUGAUUUUCUUGAAGUUUUUCAGUAUUCUUUUGCAUCCUCCACUCUCUUGGCUGCCUUUUAUAGUACCUCAAUUUCUUUUAUUCCCAAAUAUGAUAAUCCUAGCUAUGCAAAGGAUUUUUGGCCUAUUUCUUGUUGCAGUGUAGUUUAUCAGUGCAUAACCAAGGUUUUGGUUAAUAGAAUGACUAUUUUCUGCCUGCUUUGAUUUUAAUAGUCAGAGUGCCUUUGUUAGAGGGCAUAGUAUCACUAAUAAUACCAUGUUGGCUCAUGAGCUAAUGCGAGGGUAUGGUAGAAGACAUAUUUUUCCUAGAUGUGCCUUGAAGGUUGAUAUUCAAAAGAAGUUUGAUUCUUUACACUAAGGUUUUUUGCUUUCAGUACUUAGAGCUGAAGGGUUCUUUGAAAAGUUCUUGAAGUGGAUUAAAGUUUGUUUAACUACUCCUCGAUUCUUUGUCUUCCAUAAUAGAAGACUUGUAGGGUUCUUUUGAGGAAGGAAAGGUAUUAGGCAGGGAGAUCCUCCCUCUCUUUACCUCUUUGUACUUGCAAUGGAUGUGUUAUCCAAGUUAUUGGAUGUUGCUGCCAUAAAUACUUUAUUCAAGUAUCAUCUUAAGUGCCUUCGAGUGCGGUUGACUCAUCUAAUGUUUGCUGAUGAUCUUCUUAUUUUUUCUAAGGGUACUACUGAUUCAGUGGCUGGUGUUUAUUGUGUUCUUUAACAAUUUUACUUACUUUCUAAGUUGCAACUCAAUGCCUCCAAAAGUGAAUUGUUUGCUGUUAGGGUGCUUCAAGAGGAGUUGGCUCUCAUGACUACUUGUAUAGGGUUUAAAGUUGGUAGGCUACCAGCGAGGUACCUUGGUGUUCCUCUUAUUUCUUGAAAGCUAUCUCGGUCUGACUGUGCUGCUUUAACUAAAAUGAUUUGGACAGGAUUCAAGGGUGGUCUACUGAGCACUUGAGUUAUGCUGGUAGAUUGCAACUCAUUAAGGUUAUGAUCUUUAGUGUGCAAGCUUAUUGGAGUUGCUAAUUUCUAAUGCCUAAGAGUGUUCUGAAGAAGGUUUAUCAAUAUCGUCUUAGUUUCUUUUGGAAAUGAAAGUUUGGCUUCGGUCGAGGGGCUCGUGUUUGUUGCAAGGCAAUAUGUUUACCUUAAUUUUAGGGGGCUUGUGACUAAAAAAUGUGAUAGAAUAGAAUCAAGCUUGUAUUUUGUAGCUUAUCCGUACCUUGCUUGCAAGAGAGGGAUCUCUUUGGAUCGCUUAGGUUAGUGAAUAUGUGUUAAAGGGUAGGAGUUUUCUGGAUUCUACUUCAAUGCGUAGCUAGAAUUGGCAAAUGAUGCUUAAGUUGAAGCAUUUGGCUCCUGUCUCUUCUCAACAAUUUGCUAAUGAAAAAGUGAGUACUUCUCGAUUGUGGGAGGCAAUUAGAACUAAUGUUUUUCAAGGAAGGUGUGGUAGUCAAUUUUGCACCUUUGCUCCAUUCAUAGGGCUGUGGGAACUUGGAGGCAAGUGUUAACUUAGGCGAUAUUGCAACUUAAAAAGGAAAGUCAUUACUUGUUGCUAUACUUAAGCUUGCUUGGAGUGCAUAUUUGUAUGUGAUAUGGAGAUAGAGGAACAAAAGGUAUUUUGGUGCAUCUUUCUUGACUGAAAAUGUUAUCUUGAUGUAGAUUAAAAAGAUUGUGCGGGCUCACUUAGGAGGAAGACCAAUCAAUAGAACUGAUUCUGUUAAUGCUUCACUUUAUGCUUCUUAGGGUAUCAUUGGUUAAUUUGUUUGUAUAGAUUAAAGUUACUGUACAAUUUUUUUUGUUUUUUUGUAACAGUUUAACUGCAUUCUUGGAUUAA